ensembl:lncRNA
CGCUUUUUUACGUCAUUUUUUUACGGAUAAGCUUGUAUUUCUUUGGAAUGCGGUUCAGAUACCUGUGAGCUAUGAAUGUAUUACGCUUAAUUUUGUAGGGCUUGCAACAAACCUACUAUCCUCUUAGUGCCUUUAUGCGUUGGCCAGUUUGGGGAGAGAAUACUCUCUCUCUCCACUGACAUUGAUUAAAGAGCUAAGUCCCUCUGAAUCAGUGUUAAUUGGCGAGCCUGAAACUCCAGUUUUGUUGUAAAGAAGAUAGCUUCUUUUUUUUUUCUUUUUUUUUUUACAAUUGAAUGAAAUAAUCAUGUAAAUUGCGUGACGUUGUAGAGGAGGCCUGUUUUUUAGAAACGUACCACAACAAUCAAUUCACUGCUUCAUCUUGGUUGAUGGUAUGAGGGCUCCAAAAAACACCAACAAAUGCUGCAAUAGAUCCCAAAUAUGUUGUUUUAGAAACAUAGACAUUGUCUGUAUAUUGAUAAGGGGUCAUUUAAGUCUUCAGAUAUUGUACACAGGGCAAGAUUGGCCUUCUUAAACUUCAUUUGGAACAUUCCAUUUUCAUCAACUCCUUUCCAGCUGUUGGAACCUCCUGGUAGCCUGUUGCUGGAAUGGACCGAAGUGGCAAUGGAGUGGCAAUUAUCCGAAUACCGUUUGGGAUGAAUCUUGUCAUGUAUACAGCUUCUGAAGACAUGUUUCAAGGAAAAAAUAAUUUGGGUGUUUUGGAGCCUUUAUUUGUGUUAUUUUGGGAAACCCCCAUACUGCAAUGUGAGUGAAUUGCUGGUCAGGGUAAGUUUCUCCAAAACAAACAUAUAUUUGGUUGUUGAAAGAAAAAAAAAAGAUCAACAAAAAAAAAAUUACAAUCAAGAUUCUUGUUUAAGGGUGUAUUCUCUCUGAGCCUGUUUGACGCUCUUCGGUUUUCUAUGCUGAUUGGAGACUUCUCUCAGUGAUCUGUCUCUGCUAUUAUUUGGAAAACAAGCCUUCCAGAAAUCCUAAGACACAUCUGUGCAUCAGCAGUGGUACAUUAGGGAAAGUUCAGGCGUCAUAUCCAAACAAUUGCCUUGUUUCUUUCCAAUGUGAACGGUUGUAGAGCUGAUGUGGCACCGGAGGUGUUGUUUUCUGUGGAGACGGGACAGUGCCAGAACAUGCCUCUCUCCGUCAGUCCGUUAGCCAGCUUGGCGUACUCUCCUUACGGUGGCCCCUCCACUGUGGUUUGGCACUCUUAACACUGUCUUCUCUACUUCUAUUUCCAGGUGACCCCCACCCUUUACUUCCCUGCUCCCUGGCUUUCUGCUCCACCCUGUGAAAACGUGUAUUUAUUCUGAUGCUGAUAGCUUUAAUAGUGGUGUCCAUUCUGUUGCCCGGCUCUGCAAACUGCAAACAAACACACCUCUCCGCCCCUUAUGUUUUCCUCUGUGGUGUUGAGGACUCAGUCUGAAUGUGUGGAUCUGUUCUGGAGUGAAACAUGCGCCUUAUGUUCCUCUCAGUGUCCACUCUGUGUCCACCUCCCCUUUAUUAGUCAGGUGUGCCUAUCCCUGGCAGCGAUUUUGAAAAGAUUCACUGUGUGUCUGUGUGUCUGUGUGUCUGUGUGUCUGUGUGUCUGUGUGUCUGUGUAGAAAAAAGAGAAUGUUGCUAUCCUCUUGUAUGUCUGAACUUUUCACUCCAAGUCCUAGUUCAUGAACUCUGCCCUUUGACCGUGCGUUCAGUCUGUCCCUUGUGUUGUGGAGUGGGGACACGGGCAUGAAUGCUGUGGGGGUGGGGGCGCUGAAGGGUUGAGUGGCAGACGGCUCUGUGCAGCUCUAGAGAGAAGCCCCACCAACCGUCUACCACCAGUCAAUCUUUUAUUUAUGUACCUCUGCACUUUUGGCUGUGGUGACUUCAGUACUUAAGUAAUUAUCUAAACUGUAUUUUUAAGAAUUUUAUACAAUAUUUACAUGCAAUACAAUAUGAAUAGAUUUUUUGCCAACCUUUUUUAAAAUUCUUAUUUAAUAAUGUUUUUUUUUUUUUUUAUUGCCAUGUUUUGUCAUUAUACAUACAGAAACAUGCCCAUCGGUUGUGUUCUUCUAGGCAAAGUGUCGCAUCAUGGAGAAGUUCCCUGAUUGUUGUAUUGUGUAUCAUAGUGGUUGCCAUUGGACACCAUGGAACAGGUGUUGGGAAUGUGUUUGAUGUAUGAGCUAACCUUGAUGAUAUCAUCCAGUAUAAGUAUAUCAUGGAGGAAAAGGUGGACUUUUCAGUGAGAAUAAGUAUUUUUAUGUGUAUGUCCUAUUCUUAUAAUUUGAGUGUUUUUAACUCAAAGUAUGAGGCAGUGUUUUAUUUGUCCAUACUCUAUGAGGUAUGGUUACAAAACCCAGGCACAAACUGUCACCCCUUCUUUGGUUCAAUAUUACUGUUUUUAGCCAAGUGUGAUCCCUUAAAGCGUAACACAAAUAACAUCAUAGGAAAGGAUUCCAUGGUGGGAGGAAGCAUUUCACUUGAAACUAUAUUUAUACAUAUAUAUGUAUAUGUUUCAUAAGCAUACCUAGACCAUACUGUGUGAAGUUUAACAGGAUGAAAGGAGAAAAAGAGACGGUGACUUCCUUCUCCAGACUCUGUUAGGAACAUGAGGUGGCAUGUGCAGAGGGCUGUUUCCUGUGUCAGUGAGUGUCAUGAUAGGUCUGUGACAGGGGACUGGGUUGGCUGUAUUUAUCAAGG